GGCAGUGUAGCAUAGUGGUUAAGGAGCAGGACUUGUAAUCAAAAGGUUGCCAGUUCGAUUCCCUGCUGGGGCACUGCUG
rnacentral:tRNA from 1 species